GGGGGUCGCGGUCGGCCCACAGGCUGGGCACUAACGGGUCCCGGGGCGCCGGGGCGGACUGCGGCGGUCGUAGUGGACUAAUUUUACAGGCGAAGUUAAGUGACUUACCCAAAACCUCACAGCUAAUAAACGGCAGAGCCGGCACCCAGCUGUACUGGCUUCCAGCGCAUCCCAUUAUCUCCAUAAAUCCCCCUGAUUCAACUAAUAUUAGACGCCCCACAGAGUCUCGCUGCUCAAAACGUGGUCAGUGGCCCAGCAGCACUGACAUGAGGACCUUAGUUGGAAACUCAGAAUCUCAGGCUCCACCCCAGACCUGCUGAACCAGCAUCUUCAACUUAACAAGAACCCGAAGAGAUUUGUGCCACAUCAAAAAGUUUGAGAAGCUCUGAUCUAGGUGAGCCAAGCCAGCAAAGAAAGGGGGUGGAGCAGAAAAUGGGAGGAGAAUAGGGUAAUGCAGAAUCAUCAAGACAAGGUAAAUUGGACUUUCACAAAAACGGGGCUGGAAGGAGUGUUGCUCAACAAUAUCCAAAACCACAGAGGUUGAAAAGCACAAGGAAAGAAGCUGGACCCUGGACACGGUGACUCUGAUUCAAUUAUGCAGAUGACCACAAGCCUCUGGGGUUGGCAGAGCCACAAGAAAGAAGGUGCCUGGAUGAAGGAGAGCUACCCACUGACCUGGACACCCAAUUAUAGGAUAGACAGUGAAGUGCAACUACAGCCCGCAAAUGAAAAUGAAUAAAAUUAAUCCAGCCCCUCAAGGCAGUCAUCUGUCUUAGAGCUAUUGGAAUCCUGGAUCAUUGUGGGAAAUGAAAAGAACUGGUUUUUAGCAAGGAGACCAAGAAACUCUACUCCCUAGGGGCUAGCAAUGAGAGAAAGGAAGCCUUGAGUCUUUGAGCACAGGGUGACAGUUUGGGUCCUAUGUGAGAUGAUCAAAUCCACAGCAACAGAGGAAAGGACAAAAGGAAAAGAUACUUCGAUGGAAUCAGCAGCCAUUGAUCCAAUGCCAACUCCAAGACUGGAACGUCGCAAUGAUAGUUCCAAGGCGGAAAUUUGACGUAAUUCUUUUCGACACAGUUUUACAGGUCUGGAUGCCCAUUUUAAUUCUUCUGAAAGCAUGCCUCCUUCUGGCUUCAGGACUCCAUCUCCAGCCUUAUGAUCUAAAAAUAAUCCCCAAACCAAAAAAUUAGAUAUUAUUUCCUCAAAAUUAGGUGUUUUAAUCAAAACAUCUUAACAUAAAUACAUUAUUAUCACCCAAUAUGCAUAAUGUUGUUCAACUUUUUUGUUAAAUGACUUAUUUUAGAUGAACAGAUGUGUGAAUAUGAAUAUUUUUAUUUCACUUACAGGCAUCUUGCAUGUGAAUAACUCACAACUUUAAUUCAUGGAACAAAUUGAGAAAUAGUCUUUUGGGGGUUUGGUACUCCCUGGAAACAUAAGAGUGCUUUGGGCACCUCUGGUGCCUUUCCAUGCCUGCCUUCUCUGCUGUUCUUGCUACUAGUGAAUUCUAAAUCAUGGCCAAGUGAUGCCAGCACUGGAUAAUAUUGGCUCUGCCCCAUAUCUCGAGGGAAAACUCUGGGACUUGGCAUUAUAUGUGUGGGAAUCUGGCCUUGGUUGGCACUCCCAGCAUGAUAGCAGGGUUCUGCUGUCUGAAUGUACUCUGGGGUGUGCGCCACAAUUUCUGUCAUCGAAAUGGAGAUGAGAGAAUAUGCCCUUGGUGGGGACACCCCACUGGAAUUAGAGUGAAGAGAUCAAAGCUAGAGGUUCUUAAAUCAAAGAAUGUCUAAUAGCAAAGACAAAAACUUGCUUAAGAGAAAUGCAUACAGGUACUAGACCUAAUAUGAUGAAAAAUGCUAACUUCAACAUAUUGAUGCAUGCUUAGUAUACUUUUAGUCCUGCAAAGACAAAAGUUUUUUGUUUGUUUUUUUUUGAGACGGAGUCUCGCUCUGUCGCCCAGGUUGGAGUGCAGUGGUGUGAUCUCGGCUUACUGCAAGCUCUGCCUCCUGGGUUCACACCAUUCUCCUGCCUCAGCCUCCGGAGUAGCUGGGACUACAGGCGCCCGCCACCACGCCCGGCUAAUUUUUUGUAUUUUUAGUAGAGAUGGGGUUUCACCGUGUUAGCCAGGAUGGUCUCGAUCUCCUGACCUCAGGUGAUCCGCCUGCCUUGGCCUCCCAAAGUGCUGGGAUUACAGGCAUGAGCCACCGCACCUGGCCCAGUCCUGCCAAGACAAAGUUUUAAAACACAGGUUGCACAUUGGCAGCUCUCAAGCCAAAUCUGGCCCAUAGACAUGGUUUGCUUGGCCUAUAAUGUUAGUAAUACUUGACCCAAGAUUUAAAAUUUGAAAAGUUUCAUAUAAAAAUAUAGAUUUACAGCUUUUCUAGAAAAACUAUAAGAGUUAACAGUUUCUGAAUUGCAACAGCAGCUGGAACACCGUUGCCACUGACCAUUUAGAUGACUGCUGCAGUCCCCACGGCUCACUCUGGUUCAGGUAGGGGUUCUAGUUUGUAACCCCUGGUUUAAAACAUAACUGACUCUCUAGUUUUUAAAAUUCUCUCAAAAUCAAAUAACCUGAACUAGCAAAUGAUCUAGAUCCUCGUACAUGGAACUCAUACUAAGUUGACCACAGACAGUGGCUCCCAAACUCUGCAGUACAUCAGAGUCACUGGGAAGCUUUAAAAAAUCCUGCUCCCUAGCUGGGUGCAGUGGUUUAUGCCUGUAGCCCCAGCUACUUGAGAGGCUGAGGUGGGAGGAUUGCUCAAGCCCAGGAGUUUGAGGCUGCAGUGAGCCAUGAAUGUACCACUACACUCCAGCCUGGGCAACAGAGCAAGACCCCAACUCUAAAAAAAAAUCCUGCUCCCCAGGUGACAGUAUCUGGGGGAAGGAGUAAGGCAUCUUAUUUUCAAAAGAUCAUAAGAAAAGAGGCUCAUUGCUGAGGCUCACUCCGGAGCCCACUUGGAUUCUUCACAAGAAAGUUUCCCUCUUCCAGAAUUUUAUAAUUGAGGGAACCGACUAGGGAAAGAUUAAUUUGCCCAAGGUCAAACAACUAGUAAAAGAAGUAAGGAUUCCAACCCAGAUCUUUUGACUCUAUUAUCCUUACAUAUAGUUUUAUAGUGAUUUAAAUUGAUACAAGGAUAGGUUUAAAUACAAGUAGAAUGCAGGUUCAUAUAAAACUGAUUUUAUCCUCAUGUUAGAAAACAUAUACACUGUAACAGAGGGAUGACCAUCAAGUGACCAAGAUAUUUUAGUCAAAAGAUGAAUUUUUCUGCAAUUGGAGAAUGCCAAAAAUAUUCAAAGAAAAUAUAAGUCUUGUAGGCAGUCUUCUAUCAAAACCCACUGAACCGCUGGGCACGGUGGCUCAUGCCUGUAAUUCCAGCACUUUGGGAGGCCAAGGCUGGUGGAUCACCUGAGGUCAGGAGUUUGAGACCAGCCUGGCCGACAUGGUCUCUACUAAAAAUACAAAAAAUUAGCUGGGCCUGGUGGCGGCACCUGUAAUCCCAGCUACUGAGGAGGCUGAGGCAGGAGAAUUGUUUGAACCUUGGAGGUAGAGGCUGCAGUGAGCUGAGAUAGCACCACUGCACUCCAGCCUGGGUAACAAGAGUGAAACUCCAUUCAAAAACAAAAAACAAACAAAAAAAAAACAAUGCACCAAAUACUAAGUUAUUAACUAGGAUACUGAUUAUUAAGCAUGUAAAACAUUUUAUGGAACUCAGAGUUUGAUGUAAAUUGCUAUAUUUUAUAAUUCAAACAAACCUUGUUUCAUGUCAUUAUAUUAGAGUAGCAUUAUGAGACAGGAUAUAGUGUAAGCUAUAUCCCCAAUAUAAUUGCAACUGUAUAUUUUAAAGCAUGGGGAAAAUAUGAAAAGAAUUAUGCUCAAAUGUGGGUAGGAUUAUAACUGAUUUGUUUUCUUCAUUUUCAGAUUUUUCUAUAAUGACUAUACAUUAUUUUUAUAGUCAAAAAUAGAAGUAUUUUAAAUGUUUCUAGGUAGAAUAGCAAAUUAGCUGAAAUAGUAUCUCCAACGUUAUUAUCAAGACUAGACUCCUUGGGUAAAUUGGUCAGAACAGUGUUGUUCUCAUUUUACACCUCUCCAAGAUUAACUAUGUUUUAGAUUUGUGUGUGUGUUUGGUUAAAGAGCCAGGAUGAAGAUCCAGAGUUCUUAAACCUGUAUACCACCAUACUACAUUGUCAUUUUAAAGAAAUGUCUAGUAGACUCGGUGGCAUAAACAUGGGCCAUUUACAAACUAGAUGUCUAAUAUCAGAUACCUCAAAUUUGACAGUAGACUUUUUUUCAAAGCUAAAGUGGUCUUAUGUUGACUAUUUUGUUUCUUACUUGAUACUUGUUUACUUUUUAAUUUUUGGCAAGUAAUGUUUCAAGUUAAAGUUUUAGCUAUAUAUAGCAGGCAGUAUUUCAAGUAAAUGAGUUACAUCAGUAAACACCUCUGUAUUACUAAACUGAGAAUCAGAAAAUGUAAUCUCUUUGGCAGGAUUCGUAUGUUUGUAUCACGUCUUUAUCCUCAGGCAACUUUUAUCUUGGAAUACUGAACCAGCAGUCAGAAUAUGAGGGACAUUAGACUGUGUUAUAGUUACUGUUCUGUCCUUAAGUCACUUGCCUUCUCUAAGUGUCAGUUGCCUCAUCUGAAAAUGGAGUUAGCAGACCCCAGCCUAUCCUGAGUUUGAGGGCUAAAGGGAAUUAUUCUUGAAAAUGUCUAUACAUGAUAAAUGUCACAAAUAUAACUUAGCAUUUUUUUUUUGAGACAGAGUUUCGCUCUUGUGGCCCAGGUCGGGGUGCAAUGUCGUGAUCUCAGCUCACUGCAACCUCUGCCUCCCGGGUUCAAGCGAUUCUCCUGCCUCAGCCUCCUGAGUAGCUGGGAUUACAGGCAUGCACCACCACACCUGGCUAAUUUUGUAUUUUUUAAUAGAGACGGGGUUUCACCAUGUUGGUCAGGUUGGUCUCGAACUCCUACCCUCCGGUGAUCCACCCGCCUUGGCCUCCCAAAGUGCUGGGAUUACAGGCAUGAGCCACCGCACCUAGCCAAUUCUACUUCUAUUACAUUUUCAGCAUAUAUCACUUCAUUGCUCCUCCAUAUUAUUUUUCACUGGUCUUCUUACAUCUUGUGUGCCCAUAUUUAAGUAGUUUUCUUUCCAGGUAAAAAAUACAUGUGUGCCUAAAAGAUUUUAAAGUCAACUUUUCAUAAACCAUACCUAAAUUAUCAAAGUUAUUAGAAUUAUUAGAAAGUAUUAGCUAAUUCUUUUAUAAAAUGUAGACUUUAUUAUUUUAGAAAUAUUGAUUCCUCUCUAUUCAGCUAUCUUAAAGAGGGUAUAUUUUAAUCAUCGCAAUAUAUUACCUUCAUAGUAUUUUUUACUUUUGCAAAGUAUAUUUUGUCAUGUUAUUUCAUUUAGGAAUGCACUAAAUCUACAUAUCUACAUAUGAUUAUACAAGGAAACAUCUUUGUCUCAAAAAUGGGUUCUAUUACAUUUUUUAAUUUCCAGGGGUCAUGAUAUAUAAAAAGACCUGAUUUAUCUUAAAAAUACAUACUUUUAUUCUUACCUACCAUACAUCUUUUUUUGUGAUAAUCAGAAGGCUUAAUUUACUAUAAAAUAGGAAAACAACAGCUAUGUUAGAUUAUAUAGUUAAUUUAGGGAUUAAAUGAGUUAAGGUCUACAAGCCCCUGGCACAUGGCAGACAAUCAAUAAUUGAUCAUUUCCUUUGCAUCUAUAAAUUUGUUCAUUCACUUCUCAUGUGGUUCUACCUUAGACAACGAUUUUUGUUUACAGAGACAAAUAGAAGUAUCUAAUCCUAAAUAACCCAAUCAAUUGGUAAAGGCUACACUACAAAGCUGGCAUGACUUCACCAAAUGCUAGAGAAACAGUGUUAAGAGUGACAACACUAAAAGUCUUACACUCUGAUGAUGCUAGUUGCCGCCGAAUUGCUUCCCCUACCAGUUCCUUAAGUUUCUUCUUAUGAUCCCGGCUGGUUUUCUUAUAGAAAUAAAGAUCUUUUUCCAACUGCUGGAUUUUAUCUUCAUAUGUUUUGAAAGUUUCCAUAAUGCCUUCUCCAUCUUGUUCUAUACAACAAAAAUUUGCAUUUAAAAUCAGUUUUAAAUAAAUGAUGCAAAAUUAUGUUUUUGUUUGUUUCUUUGUCUUUUUGAAACGGAGUCUUGCACUGUCGCCCAGGCUAGAGUGCAGUGGCGUGAUAUGCUCGGCUCACUGUAAGCUCCGCCACCCAGGUUCACACCAUUCUCCUGCCUCCGCCUCCCAAGUAGCUGGGACUACAGGUGCCCAGCACCACGCCCGGCUAAUUUUUUUGUAUUUUUAGUAGAGACGAGGUUUCAUCAUGUUAGCCAGGAUGGUCUCGAUCUCCUGACCUCGUGAACUGCC
rnacentral:lncRNA from 1 species